AACUCGUGAUGUGGACAAAUAUUUGUUAGAUCCUUGAAUCUCUCCCAACAAGCUUGGAAAGUCUCGUCACCCUUGUGCAUAAAUUGAAUGAUCUGCUCUUGCAGGU